rnacentral:rRNA from 1 species
AGUGAACGCUGGCGGUAGGCCUAACACAUGCAAGUCGAACGGCGGCACAGUAAGAGCUUGCUCUUACGGGUGGCGAGUGGCGGACGGGUGAGGAAUACAUCGGAAUCUACUUUUUCGUGGGGGAUAACGUAGGGAAACUUACGCUAAUACCGCAUACGACCUACGGGUGAAAGCAGGGGAUCUUCGGACCUUGCGCGAUUGAAUGAGCCGAUGUCGGAUUAGCUAGUUGGCGGGGUAAAGGCCCACCAAGGCGACGAUCCGUAGCUGGUCUGAGAGGAUGAUCAGCCACACUGGGACUGAGACACGGUCCAGACUCCUACGGGAGGCAGCAGUGGGGAAUAUUGGACAAUGGGCGCAAGCCUGAUCCAGCCAUACCGCGUGGGUGAAGAAGGCCUUCGGGUUGUAAAGCCCUUUUGUUGGGAAAGAAAAGCAGCAGGUUAAUACCCCGCUGUUCUGACGGUACCCAAAGAAUAAGCACCGGCUAACUUCGUG